rnacentral:rRNA from 1 species
GGUUUCUUGAGAAAAUAAGAAAUUUWACCYGCCCCCUKAAUAAGAAUUAAAUGGCCGCAGUAAUUUGACUGUGCAAAGGUAGCAUAAUCAUUAGUUUUUUAAUUGAGAACUAGUAUGAAUGGUUGGACGAGGUGAAUUCUGUUUUAUAAUAACAAAUUGAAUUUAAAAUUUAAGUAAAAAGACUUAAAUAUAUUUAAGGGACGAGAAGACCCUAUAGAGUUUAAUAAAUUUACUUUUAAUUGAGUUAAUAAAAAAGUUUUAAUUAUGAGGAAGUUUAUUUUAUUGGGGAGGUAAAAAAAUAAUAAAAACUUUUUUUUUUGUUAAAUUUAAGUGGUUAGAUAAUUGAUCCAUUAAUAGUGAUAGAAAGAUUAAAUUACCUUAGGGAUAACAGCAUAAUUUUUUUUGAAAGUCCUUAUUGAARGGAAAGAUUAUGMCCCCGAUGUKGGAUUAAGAUAAAUUUKGGGGGUAGAKGUYCAAAAAUUAGGUC